UACGGGGGGGGCAAGCGUUGUUCGGAAUUACUGGGCGUAAAGGGCUCGUAGGCGGCCAACUAAGUCAGACGUGAAAUCCCUCGGCUUAACCGGGGAACUGCGUCUGAUACUGGAUGGCUUGAGUUUGGGAGAGGGAUGCGGAAUUCCAGGUGUAGCGGAGAAAUGCGUAGAUAUCUGGAGGAACACCGGUGGCGAAGGCGGGUCUCUGGGCCGAUACUGACGCUGAGGAGCGAAAGCGUGGGGAGCAAACAGG
rnacentral:rRNA from 1 species